AACGAACGCUGGCGGCAUGCCUAACACAUGCAAGUCGAACGAGACCUUCGGGUCUAGUGGCGCACGGGUGCGUAACGCGUGGGAACCCGCCCUUAGGUUCGGAAUAACUCCCCGAAAGGGGUGCUAAUACCGGAUAAUGUCUUCGGACCAAAGAUUUAUCGCCUUUGGAUGGGCCCGCGUUGGAUUAGCUAGUUGGUAGGGUAAAAGCCUACCAAGGCGACGAUCCAUAGCUGGUCUGAGAGGAUGAUCAGCCACACUGGGACUGAGACACGGCCCAGACUCCUACGGGAGGCAGCAGUGGGGAAUAUUGGACAAUGGGCGAAAGCCUGAUACAGCAAUGCCGCGUGAGUGAUGAAGGCCUUAGGGUUGUAAAGCUCUUUUACUCGGGAUGAUAAUGACAGUACCGGGAGAAUAAGCUCCGGCUAACUCCGUG
rnacentral:rRNA from 1 species